GGCUCCCUGUUCCUGCAGCUGAAGGAUAGGUGUCACAGGACAGGCAAGAACGGAGCUGGUGGCCUGGACUGGGCCACCAUGGAGAGCAUCUUCGCCUGCAGGUAAGACCCAGUCCCAGGAAAAGGACAGCCCCCCAGCCAUAACCGUGACCAUGGAAAGAACAUCUUCAUUCAAAUCUGUCCGAGUCAACAACGCUUUUGACGUUGGGCUUCUCAAACUUCUUGGAGUUCCCGAAGGGCCGCCUGGUCCCCAACCUCAGCCUGCCCUCCAGACAGCUCAGGUGAACCUCUGAGCCCCUUCAUCACAACCUGAGGCCGAACCGUGCCUCUAGAGCAGAUGUCCCCCUGCCUCCUGUCUGCUGACGGGAGAUCCAGAGGCGAAACGGGCCAUUUGAGAAGCGGGGUUAAAAUCGCCGUGGUCUGUCUCUGGGGAGACGGGUUAUAACCCAGGGGGCCUUCUUUGCCAGCGGUGGCUGAGACAGCCAGCCGCCAGGGAAGGAGCAAGGAGAGAGAGCGCCGUGGGAAUUCUCGCCUGGUGUCCUUCCCGGAAAGCGACUCGUGCGGAAUUUCUCCGUGGCAUCAGCGCGUUUACUUAGCUCGGCAAAGGAGAUUGGGGCUGUGGCCAUUUCUGGGGCGGCUGCAAUCCGGCAGCUUUUUGUAAUUAUCUGUUAGUAAUUAUCUGCUAGGACUUGGGUAAACAGCAGCCUGCUUAGCCACCCUUGAAGGAUUAAAUCAUUACGUUUAUUGCUCUAUCCACUCGCUAUUAACCUCCUAAGAGGCUUUUCCACCUCAGAACCAGGGUUUUCAUUGAUGAACUCCAAGGAGAACAUCAGAGUCGCGAGGCAGUGGGGGUGGGGCAAAGCUGUCGGGCGGCUGCUGGAUGCAAAGCCUGGUGACUGUUGCUGUCCAUCAGCACGUCUGUGACAGGCGUCCCUGACAGUGCACACGCUCUCCGGGAAAGUAGGACCUUCUCCUAGGGAGUGUAUCUUAAGAAGCAAAGGGCCCAGCUUUGGUGGCAGGGCCUGGAGAGUUCUUGCAAGAGACACGGACAGACAGGCAGGCUGGGCU
rnacentral:lncRNA from 1 species